UGGAUGGGGGCUGGCUGUGAAAAGGCCUGGUCUUAGCAUGUGCAUUGUCUGCUGCUCCUCAGGUCUGUUGCCCCACCAGCUGAUGGAGUAAUGAAGCUUCCCCUGAAUGGCGAUGGAAAGGCUUCAGGAGAAAGAAAUGAAAGAUUAGAUGAAUCUUCACGGAUCAUGAGCUCCAAACGGACGUCGUGUACAUGGCAAUCCAUGCCUGUGAAAUGUGAGUGUCCGCUGGAUUUCAAAUGCUGCCAAAUCAGGAUCUUAGCACUUCACGCACGCUAUCCGUGCACUUAUUUGUGCAAUGUCGCAAUAAGCAUAUAUUUGCAAGGAAAGGGAUCAGUCUGACAGCUGCUAGCAUUCUUGAAAACAACAGUCCUCAGAGGCAAUUCAUAUGCUUGAGGAGUAAAUAUAUA
rnacentral:lncRNA from 1 species